UGUCACCUACAUUCUCGUUAUUUGGACACCUACGCACAAGACAGCCAGAGUAAUAUUCACAUAUCUGCAGAUUACGCUGCUGUCCACACAGGGUUUCAACGUCGCUGUACUCUACUGCUUCCUGAAUGGCGAGGUGCGAAAGUCUGUGCGGCACCACCUGGAGCGCUGGAAGACUGCCCGUGCCCUGAAACGCGGCGGCCGACGUCGCUCGAGCGCGUCACGUUUCAGCGACGUCCGUGUUGCCAACUCGAAGCGAGGAAGCUGCGGAAGCUUCGCUACGACCACCACGUCGCUGGGAAAUGCGCGCCUCUACUCGGCCACCGGCAAGCGCUUCAGCAACGCUUCCUACGGCCCGGUGGCCCUGAAAGAUGAGCUUGUGUGAACGCGAUUAACCGACCUGCACCACACGACU